UUGCACGCUGGCGGAAUGCUUUACCCAUGCACGUCGAACGGCAGCACGGGGGCAGCCCUGGUGGCGAGUGGCGAACGGGUGAGUAAUACAUCGGAACGUGCCCGGUCGUGGGGGAUAACGUAGCGAAAGUUACGCUAAUACCGCAUACGAUCUGAGGAUGAAAGCGGGGGACCUUCGGGCCUCGCGCGAUCGGAGCGGCCGAUGUCAGAUUAGGUAGUUGGUGGGGUAAAGGCCUACCAAGCCGACGAUCUGUAGCUGGUCUGAGAGGACGACCAGCCACACUGGGACUGAGACACGGCCCAGACUCCUACGGGAGGCAGCAGUGGGGAAUUUUGGACAAUGGGCGCAAGCCUGAUCCAGCCAUUCCGCGUGCAGGACGAAGGCCUUCGGGUUGUAAACUGCUUUUGUACGGAACGAAAAGGCUCUGGCUAAUACCUGGGGCUCAUGACGGUACCGUAAGAAUAAGCACCGGCUAACUACGUG
rnacentral:rRNA from 1 species